UCAGGUUUCCGAGGAAUUAAUAGGGAAUCUUGUGAAAAUCAAGAGCUAUACCCGUAGCUGUAAGUUCAGGAAACGGCUUUUCGCACCAAGUCACUGGCAUUGUCCGGGAAGACGCGUAAAGUUUGAACGAGCCAGAAGACCUGCCUGUUUUCC
rnacentral:ncRNA from 1 species